rnacentral:rRNA from 1 species
CCUACGGGGGGCUGCAGUGGGGAAUAUUGGACAAUGGGGGCAACCCUGAUCCAGCCAUGCCGCGUGUGUGAAGAAGGCCCUCGGGUUGUAAAGCACUUUCAGUGAGGAAGAACGCCUGGUGGUUAAUACCCAUCAGGAAAGACAUCACUCACAGAAGAAGCACCGGCUAACUCCGUGCCAGCAGCCGCGGUAAUACGGAGGGUGCGAGCGUUAAUCGGAAUUACUGGGCGUAAAGCGCGCGUAGGUGGCUUGAUAAGCCGGUUGUGAAAGCCCCGGGCUCAACCUGGGAACGGCAUCCGGAACUGUCAAGCUAGAGUGCAGGAGAGGAAGGUAGAAUUCCCUGUGUAGCGGUGAAAUGCGUAGAGAUCGGGAGGAAUACCAGUGGCGAAGGCGGCCUUCUGGACUGACACUGACACUGAGGUGCGAAAGCGUGGGUAGCAAACAGGAUUAGAUACCCCAGUAGUC